UGGAAAAAAAUGUGUCAGCAGGCAAAGGCA
rnacentral:piRNA from 2 species